GAGUGUGUGUGUGAGUGUGAAGACAGAGGCGAGCAGCGCACAAUCUGCUGCUUCCACACAGAAAUUCAUGUCCAGUGAAGCUCGUCCCACAUCGAUCACACCGACAGUGAUUUCAGCAAUAAAUGCUGGAAGAUCUCCAUCAGUUCAGAAGUGCAGACGAGCAUCAGAGCAUCAGGAAGAGCUGAGAUCUGGGUUUAUUAAAGAGGACGGAGACAAGAUGAGAGAUCCAGAGCCCUGCAGAAUCAAACACACUGAAGAACUAAA